rnacentral:lncRNA from 1 species
GAAGUUUUGGCCUGUACUGUAUAUAUGUAAUGCUUUCUUUUUUGUUCUUCAUUUCAGAAAGUUGAAGAUGGCAGCAUUACAGUAAACGAGUUUCUGCGACACUUUGGUAUUGACUUUGUCAUACACAGAUCUCGGCCAAGUGCACUUCCCGAAAAGUUUGUUCCUGAUGACAAACAAAGUAUUGAACACCAUCUGCGGGAGCUGCACAUUUACCGCCCCAAACAAAGGGUUUAUGAUGCUGAGUGUGAGAAGCUGACGGAGCUGGUGGAAGGAUUAAAGCCGCGGAUGCUGGAGCAGGACAGUCUGCUCAGAAAUGUAAACAAAUCCCUUCUGCAGGAAAUGCUUGUCUUGUCAAAAGAACAGCUCCAAAUCUUUGGCUCCAAGCUGAAAGAGAGAAAGGGUUAUUUUAGGAAGAGAAGUAAAGCCCGCUCUCAUGAAAUGAAGGUUGGGAUGUAUUCUGAACUGGUCCACACGGUGCAGGAGGCUGAGGAGAGCCUGAGGGAGAAGAUAACGAAGGCUGACAAGUGGCUGGAAGAGUUGGAUGCAUGUGCACA